CCCACAUAUCUACGCCAUUAUUUUCUGUUCUCUCAUCUCAUAGCUAGGUUACCUCUCACCCCUCUCUCUCUCUCUAUCUCUCCCAUCCGUUGUUCACUCAGGCUCCCCGCCUCUCACUCUUGUACAGUGACUGCUUGUCUGCAUCUCCGUGGAACCGUUACUCCGUCUAUGCCUCCGGUACUCCGCAAUCUGGACACUGUAGAGGUCUACAGCGUAUCUCCUUUGAGGUUUCAAGUUUCUCGACUACUACCCCUGGUCAUGGAAAUGUAACAGCUAAUGCAGAUUGCAAAUUGACACUGUGAUUUGGCACUUGCUCGGGUGUCAUUUGAUGAUGCCCCCUCUGCUGUUUUCUGGACUGUAUGUGUUUCCUCUUCUUUAAAGUUUCUGAGUUUAGUUUUAUUCAAUUGCAAUUCAUGCACAUAAGCAGUGUACUUAUAUUACCACUUUUUACAAUUCUAAUUUCUUGGGUUAUGCUAAACCUUAUUGCUUCUUUGAAGUACUAUUAAGUCAAGUAAGUUAUGCACCCCAAAAGAUAUAAUGAUAUUAAAGUAUUAUGUUCUGAAUCAAAACUUUUUUAAUUUCACUGUUGUGUGUUUACUCUUGCAGUGUACGGAAAUUGACUCUCUCUUUUUAAUGGUUGUUUGACAUGCCUUUCUCAGUUCUAAAAUUACAUGCUUAAAAAUGUUUCAGGGAUUUCAUAAGUUCGGACCAACAUGACUCUUAUUGCUCUCCUCGUGUGGAAAGGGCUAACCUGAGAGGCAAGAAGAAUGUAUCCACUUUUUAAUCUUGGAACUGAGAUCACACCAUUCAGGAGUGCGAUCAAGGUUCGCGUUGUUUUGCAUGGUUGGUGCAUAUACCUGAAGGGAAAAGGAAGCGAUGCAAUCACAAGCAAGCAGGUUGUGUUUCACAAUUCUGAGGUCAUGUUUAAAAUAGAUAGAAUAAGGACAAUGAUACACUACAUACUAAAUUAGUGUGAAUGCUAUAAAAGAAUGUAAAAAUAUAGUUGUUGAUGUUGACCUUCUAUGAAGAAGCUUAAAGGUCAGUUUGUAUCGGAUCCAAGAGAAAAAGUGCUGAAAAGGACAAAGUUCAGGGAUUUCAUAAGUUCGGACCAACAUGACUCUUAUUGCUCUCCUCGUGUGUUAAGGGCUAACCUGAGAGGCAAGAAGGAAGGAUGUAUUCAUGCAAGGAUAACUCUGUCAUCCCAAAUUUGCUGCCAUGGUUGUCUUGAACUUCAUAUGUUGAUAGCUUUGGCGAAAGUCAUGAGGCUUAUAUCUCUCGCCAAAGUGAACAUUCCAACCAUAUGCUAUGUGGUGUUUACAUUGCAAUUGAAGACGAUGGAGUGGAAAGCCAAAAAACAAUCACUAUUUAUAGCCAACUCACUUCCAUUGAACCUGCCUUUUUGCUUUACAUUUUCACUGCAUUAAAUUUUUUUCAGAUCCGUUGUAUUGUAUAUAAGUGUAAUCAAUUCCAACUUAUUGAUAUUCCAAACGUCACAUUAUUAUUGACUCAAUAGCUGAACAAUUAUCACAAUAAUUUAUUCCAAAA